ACCUACGGGGCGCAGCAGGGAAUUUUCGUCAAUGGGCGCAAGCCUGAACGAGCAAUGCCGCGUGAACGAGGAAGGUCUUCGGAUCGUAAAGUUCUGUUGAAGGGGAAAAAGAGCGGAGAGAGGAAAUGAACUCCGAUUGAUAUUACCCUUCGAGGAAGUCACGGCUAACUACGUGCCAGCAGCCGCGGUAAUACGUAGGUGGCGAGCGUUAUCCGGAAUGAUUGGGCGUAAAGGGUGCGUAGGCGGCCUGCUAAGUCUGGAGUGAAAGGUACCGGCUCAACCGGUACAGGCUCUGGAAACUGGCG
rnacentral:rRNA from 1 species